rnacentral:lncRNA from 1 species
CCCGUCCCGUCCCGUCCCGCCCCGCCGCGAAGCGGAGGCGGAGUCCGAACGAAUCACCGCGCCGCGGGCGGGACGGGGCAAUGAGGCAAUGAGGCAAUGAGGCAAUGAGGAGGAGCGCAGCCGUGGUUAGGGUUCAGUUCCAGCUGAUUUUAUUUCCUUCCCGAAGAAAACAAAAACAAAAACAAGAGGUUAUUUACAGAAGGUAUAUCGACAAUCUGACAGGCAGUGAACGUGACAUGGUUAGCUGGCAUGAUUUCUUUUUUGUUUUUUUUUCCUCUUUCCCAACGUUGCGUUGUGGCUGAUCGUUAGACCAAAAUAAUAAUAAUAGAAAAAAAAAUAAAAAAUAAAAAUAAUAAUAAAAAAAAAGAAUUCUACACAGCAUAUUGCACAGGAUGGAUGACCAAAAAAUAAUAAAAUAAUAACAAUAAAAAGCGAAACCCUUAACGGAACCACCUCGUUCGGCAGACGUCCCCGUGCCUGUCAUGUUAUAUUAACAUACAUAAACACACAAUCUUCUUUUUUUUUUUUUUGCUUAUUAUAAUACAGACUUAAAUGUACAAAGAUGUUUUCACUUUCUUCAUCUUAAACACAACAGCUAUAACCUGAAUACAUAUGCUAUCAUCAUGCCAUAGGAGACUAAAACAAUUAUAUUUAGCGACAAGUAGAAAGGAUUAAAUAUCAAAUACGAGAAUGAAAAACGCAGUACAUAGUGUCGCGAACUCAAACCGGCAUUUCGAUAGAUCCAGUGGUUUAAAACGGCACGGCUUUGCUUCGAAAAAAAGUGCAAAAGAUGUGGUUUACGAGUUAAAGGUACAGGAUCCCUUUCCGCGCGGAGGCGCCGGUUCCGCGCUCCGUUCGGGAGACGUUCCCACCCAACCGGCGGCAGACGCCCGCCGGAGCCCUCCCCGUCCCCUCCGGCCCCAUCGUCCCGCUACGAGCGGGGCGCGGCGCGGGAUGCUGUGCCUUUAAGUGCCUGCAGAUCGGAGCGCGACGCGGGCGGAGGGCGGACGGGCGGGCGGGCGGCGGUGUGCGCUCACCGCGUGUCCGGGGCGGCCGGGGCCCUGCUGCCCGCGUCAGGAAAUCCAAACAGCGAUUGACACCGAUUUACACCCCCUUUAUAUAUUUUUUACAAAAAUACACUGAGAAAAUAAUCGAACGUUUUCAUCUCUCUUCUUUUUUUUUUUUUCUUUUUUUUUUUUUUGUGUGUGUGUGUGUGUGUGUUGGUUUGUUUUUUUUUUUUUUUUUUUUGUCGUUGUUUUUAAAAGUGUCAAAAGUCUACAUUUAAAUAUAAAAAAAAAAAAAAAUUCGAAGUUAAAACUCUAGCCCUUCCGUGAAGGAGACAUAAAAACGGUGCGGGUAACAACGAGAACUACCAGGAAAAAAAGAAGGACAAAGAAAGACGGGCAGAAACGUUUGGCAGUAUAAAUACGUCCACUCGGAAACGGCAUCCGCUCGCACGGACGGGACGGAACGGGACGGGGGCGGCCGUCGGUGGGCACAGUCCUAUACCACCCGCGGCCCUACGGACACACACGGACACAGCAGAGGGAAAAUUUGGUCCUGAAUUUCUGAGAGUCCAGCACGGCAUUGAGUUGCGUUUGAAUCCUUUAAAGAGUUAAGAGUGAAAAAAAAAAAAACCCAAAAACAAAACAAAACAAAAAAAAGAGCUGGUGAUACUUUGUAGGAAUCAAACAGAGCGCCAUCUGUCCGCUUCGCAUCGCCCUAACGCUACGUUCUGAAACUGUUCCACGGUCCGACAAAAACCUUAAAGACAGACAGGUAACAUGCUCUAUUAACCCACCACUGAGAGAAUCCAACACCAUCACGAUUCCGAGAAAGAAGAAGAAAAAAAAAAACUACUGCUUUUUUUUUUUUUUUCCUCUCUUUUUCCCCGUGUUUUCGGGCGCCGCGACGGCACCUCAGCCCCCGGCACGAGCAGCGCGGGGGGGGCUCAGCCGAUCCUCGUUUCCUUUCAAGCAGUUCUGGUCGCUCUUUCGCAUCCGGAGGGCGACGACGACCCCCGCGGGAGCUCCGCACGGCGCCGCUCCCUCCUCCCGCGCUGCGCCGCGGUCCCUCUCAGUCCGUCCUCGGGCGGUGGCACAGCGGCGGGCAGCGCUCCCGCGGUCCUCUCGGCCGCCGCCGGCUUCGGGCGGCCCCGCCUCAGUAGGUGAACACCAGGUUGGAGAUGCUGGACUCCAGCCAAUCCCCCGAGAUCAUCUCACUUACCUCCGGCGUGCAGUAGUCCGGGAACUCAAAGUGCGAGCCCGAGCCGGGCUCCAAGUUAAAAUCCAGGUCCCGGUCGAGCGCGGAGGAGCCGAAGCCGCCCAGGGACAUGCUCUCGAAGCCGGGGCUGGGGUUCAGGUCCAAGAGGUCGUCCUCGAACUCGUCGUCCGACGACGAGGAGCCGGCCGAGGAGGCGGAGGACGAGUGGGAGGACGCGGAGGAGGACCGCGCCGUGGAGGGGGCGGGCGAGGCGGCCCUCGGGCCGGCGUAGCCGCGGUGCUCGGCGGGCGAGCGGGCGCCCGGCGGCGAGGGGCAGUCCCCGUCGGGCCGCGCCGCGCCGCCCGCCUCCUCGUAGAGGCUCAGCGGGUCUCCGGCCUCGGCCGCGCUGGUCAGCGUGGGGCUGCCGGGCACGGCGCCGCCGGGAGAGCCCGAGGCGGCGGCCGCCGCCGGCCCUCCGCCGCCGAAGAUGUAGACGCGCUUCAGCUUCCUCUCGGCCGCCGCUUUGCCGGGCGCCGCCGGCGCGCCCCUCGGCUUGUACAGCGCCUGGUGCUCGGGCGGCGGCGGCGGCUUGGGGCCGGCGGGGGAGGGCCGCGGGCCGCCGCCACCGCCUCCCUUCUUCGGGGCGGGUUUGGCCGUGCCGCCGCCGGGGCCGCCGCCCGCGCUGCCCCCGCCGGGCCCGGCGCCGCCCCCGCCCCCGCCGGCGGCCCGGUCCGCCUUGUCUGCGGGCUUGGCGGAGCUGUUGCCCGACUUCACCUUCUUCCUGGGCCGGUACUUGUAGUCGGGGUAGUCCGCCAUGUGCUUGAGGCGCAGCCGCUCCGCCUCCCGGAUGAAGGGGAUCUUGUCGCUGUCCUUGAGCAGCUUCCAGCGCUUGCCCAGCCGCUUGGAGAUCUCGGCGUUGUGCAUGUCGGGCGACUGCUCCAUGAUCUUCCGCCGUUCGAUCUGCGACCACACCAUGAAGGCGUUCAUCGGUCGCUUGAUGUGCCCGCUGGGCGUCUUGCACCAGCUCGGGUCGUCCGCCUUGCCGCCCGUCGAGGCGGUGGAGCCGGGCGUAGGCGACGAGGCGAUGCCCAGCUCCAGCCCGACCCCGGCGGCCGAGGUCUCGGCGGCGGGCAGCGCCUCCGUGUUCUCCGCCGUGCCCGUCUGCUGCACCAUGGCUGCGGCCGCGGGGCUCGACUCGGCGGCGCGGGGCUGCGGGGGGCUCCGGGCCGGCCCCGGGGCAGCUUCCACAACGGCGCCCGGCCCCGGCCGCGCCGCGCUCCCGCUCCGCGCGGACUUGCUGCCGGAGCCGCGCCGCAACGUGGGGCUCUGCUUUUGUCCUUAAACUGUUUCUUUCUUUCUUUUUUGUUUUUGUUUUGGUUUUUUUUUUUGCUUUUUGCUUGGGGUUUGUUUCAGGGGACGCCGCUCCGCCUCGCUCUCCCCUCAACGCCGCGCCCCCUCAGGGUAGCCGCUCCGCUCCGCGCCCCGCCGGCCCCCGUCGCGCCGGCAGCCCCGGGCUGGGGGGGAGGCGGCCCCCGGCUGCGGGCCGCGUGGUGACGGCGCUCCGUGCGGCGGCGGCGGGGCGCCGUGCGGAGAAAGCGCCCAAAGAAUCAAAAAAAAAAAAAAAGAAAAAAGAAAAAAAAGGUGAAAAAAAAAAAAGAAAAAAAGAAAAAAAAAAGGAAAGGAAAAAGAAAAAAAGAUAAAGCAAUCAAAAAAAUUCACGGCGGAAAAAGAAACCAACAGCAACCCAAAAAUUCACGGAAAAAGGACGAUGCCGCAGAGUGCCCGUGCAGAGCGCGUCCGUCCCGCAGGCAGCGCGGGCCGAGCCCCGUCCCGCAGCGCGCAGAGCGCGCGGAGCCCGCGGAGCCGCCCCCCGCCGAGCCGCGCCGCGCGCACGCCGGGCGAUGCCCGCGCCCCCCGCACGCCGCGCUCCUCCGGCAGCCGCUGAGAGCGGAGCCCGCGCCCGCCCCGCGCCGCUUUAUCCUUUCGCAGCCCGCGCCGCGGCCAAUCGCGCGCUGUAUCCAACGCGUCCGCGUGCCAAGCGCCGCCCGCCGCCCUCCGAUUGGCGGCCGCCGCGGCGCGAUAAUAAGCGCCGCGUGCAAUGAGAAGCGCCCGCGCUGACCUCAUUCCCGGCGGCGGGGCGAACUCUGGGGAAGGGGCAGGAGGGCAGCGCCGCGCGCCGCCCCGCGCCCCGCCGCGCACGUGCCCGCGCCCCCGUCCCGCCCCGCGCCCCCGCCCCGCGCGCCUCCCCCGACCAGAAGGGGCGGCGGUCGGCGCCGCGGGGAGCGGUGCGAGAGAGCGCGGUGAGAGAGGCGGUGCAAACGGAACGCGGAGAAAACGGCGCAGUGGGCGAAAUAACGCCACGCGCUCGCCGAGGCACCGAGCGGCGUCGUGCCGCACACCUGCACAAAGAGCCGUGCGCUGCCGUGCGGCGCCGCGAGAGCUCCGAGGGCCGGCGCUCGGCGGUCACCUGCACGGCCCGCGGUGCCGCCCACGCCGCUUCGCUGCCGAAGGGGUGCGCCGCGUGUCCUCCUCCCGGCUAAAACCUCGCCCCCUGCCCCGUGACGACGCCCUCUGACAUCAGAGCAGCCCCGCAACUUCGCGCCGUGCGGGCGCUCGGCCUCCCGCUGCCCGCCCCCCCCCCGGGCCGACGCCCGCGCUGCACGGCACAGUCCCGGAGCGGGGCGGGCCGGCAGCGCCCGCGGCGGUUCUACCGGUGCUCCCGGCGCUGGCGUGCAGCGGCACGAACGCGGCCCGCAGCCCACCUGUCAGCGGGGCAUCCAGGGGCGCCUCCGUAGGCAGCCCCCUUGUUUGGCUUAUGGGUAGGAGUUUUCUUUCGGACUACACAGAUGUUCACAUGUCGCUGCGCGGGUCAAAGGGGAGCAAAUAACGAAAGCGGUAGGCGGAUAUGGUAAUAAAAAGCUCCAGAGAGCAUUCCGUUCCGUCGUGCUCCAGCGCGAAAGGCCCUGCCUUCUAGGAACGCGUCCGUCCCCAGGUGAGCGGUCACCUCGAUACGAGCGGCCACCCCCCAUCUGCUCCCGGCAGUGCACGGGCACAGCGUGCUAUUUCCUAUAGGAAAGCUUCCCGCAUUCGUAAAAGCACGUUUUAGAAUUGCUUAAUAAAGCAAUCGCAAGAAUACGAUGUGAAACUCUGUAAAAGCUUUUAUUACGAUUUCUUGGCUGCUUCCUUGAAGUUAAUUGCUUCCACUUUUAAUCCUCCGACGCUGCGGUGAAAGUGCUUCGAGCUCCCCAAAUUUUAAGCACGGAUGUAAAACGUAAGCACUCAGCUCCCACCUCAAACGCACUUUUAAGAGCAUUGGCAACGCUUCUCUGCCGUUUAAAACUUGGGAAGACGGGAAACUUCCUCGUGCUCCUGCAGGCUGCAGCCCCGGGAGCGGAGGGACGCGAGGUGGCAGCGCUGAGCCUCUGCUCCGCGCGUGGGAAGCGCCGGGACCGCGGGGUCAGCUCCUUCGGUCCUCUUCCUUCCUCCUACAUCUUGCCCUCUGGGCCCUUCGCUGUCUUCAUAGCCCCGCUUUGGACGCUUUCUAAUGAUUUCAUAAUCCUCUUACGCUCUGGUGCCCA